UACGAGGGGGGCGAGCGUUGUUCGGAAUUAUUGGGCGUAAAGGGCGCGUAGGCGGUGCGGUAAGUCACCUGUGAAACCUCUGGGCUUAACUCAGAGCCUGCAUCCGAAACUGCCCGACUAGAGGUAGGUAGGGGAGAUCGGAAUUCCUGGUGUAGCGGUGAAAUGCGCAGAUAUCAGGAGGAACACCGGUGGCGAAGGCGGAUCUCUGGGCCUUACCUGACGCUCAGGUGCGAAAGCUAGGGGAGCGAACAGG
rnacentral:rRNA from 1 species